rnacentral:rRNA from 1 species
AUUUCUUCGGAAUGAAGUUUUAGUGACUGAGUGGCGGACGGGUGAGUAACGCGUGGGUAACCUGCCUCACACAGGGGGAUAACAGUUGGAAACGGCUGCUAAUACCGCAUAAGCGCACAGCAUCGCAUGGGACAGUGUGAAAAACUCCGGUGGUGUGAGAUGGACCCGCGUCUGAUUAGCUAGUUGGUGGGGUAACGGCUCACCAAGGCGACGAUCAGUAGCCGACCUGAGAGGGUGAUCGGCCACAUUGGGACUGAGACACGGCCCAAACUCC